rnacentral:rRNA from 1 species
UACGUAGGGUGCAAGCGUUAAUCGGAAUUACUGGGCGUAAAGCGUGCGCAGGCGGUUUCGCAAGUCAGAUGUGAAAUCCCCGGGCUCAACCUGGGAACUGCAUUUGAAACUACGAGGCUCGAGUGUGUCAGAGGGGGGUGGAAUUCCACGUGUAGCAGUGAAAUGCGUAGAGAUGUGGAGGAACACCAAUGGCGAAGGCAGCCCCCUGGGCCAACACUGACGCUCAUGCACGAAAGCGUGGGGAGCAAACAGG